rnacentral:misc_RNA from 1 species
GGAAGGAUCAUUAGUGAAUGCCCUCACGGGCUUAACUAUCCAACCAACCUCUGUGAACUGUCGCCCUCGGGCGCUUCUAUAACAAACUAUAACUGUCAUGAACGUCGUAUACAAAAACAAACACAACUUUCAACAACGGAUCUCUUGGCUCUCGCAUCGAUGAAGAACGCAGCGAAAUGCGAUAAGUAAUGUGAAUUGCAGAAUUCAGUGAAUCAUCGAAUCUUUGAACGCACCUUGCGCCCUCUGGUAUUCCGGAGGGCAUGCCUGUUUGAGUGUCAUGUAGACUCAACCCCCCUGGUUUAUGAUCGGGAAGGGUUGGAUGUGGGCGCUGCCGAUUGCCGGCUCGCCUUAAAUCUCUUAGCGGCUCAGAAGCCCCGACCUAGCGUAAUAAGUUUCGCUGGAGAGGGUGUGGAUGACUGCUUACAACCGCCCUCGGGCAAUCUUUUGACUCUGGCCUCAAAUCAGGUAGGACUACCCGCUGAACUUAAGCAUAUCAAU